GCCGGAGUAGCUCAAUGGCAGAGCAAUCGCUUUGUAAGCGAAAGGUUGGAGGUUCGACUCCUCUCUCCGGCU
rnacentral:tRNA from 1 species